ensembl:snoRNA
UGGUAAUUACCAAGAUUUUUAGAAUGCAGUUUCUCAUUUGCCAUGGACAUGACCAUAAAAUAAUUUCCCACUAGAUUUUUUUUUAUCUGUUACCUUGCUAGCAAGCAGUCUAUUGGGAACAUUU